rnacentral:rRNA from 1 species
UACGGAGGGUGCAAGCGUUAUCCGGAUUCACUGGGUUUAAAGGGUGCGUAGGCGGGCAAGUAAGUCAGUGGUGAAAUCUCCGGGCUUAACUCGGAAACUGCCGUUGAUACUAUUUGUCUUGAAUAUCAUGGAGGUAAGCGGAAUAUGUCAUGUAGCGGUGAAAUGCUUAGAUAUGACAUAGAACACCGAUAGCGAAGGCAGCUUACUACAUGUUCAUUGACGCUGAGAAGCGAAAGCAUGGGGAGCGAACAGG